ensembl:lncRNA
CCUGUUCUUAAUGCUGCACGGUCCUCAGGAGAAGCUACUUACCGCUCAUUUAGUCAGAGCCCACCUGAGCUGGGAGAAGGGCUGUACCCAGCUCCAGCCCCCUCGUCACACCGUCCCACCUGGGCAGGGGGCAGGACAAGGGUGAGACACGCGUGUGAAUUUCAUGGUGGAGGCACAGCCUAAUCAGAAGACUGCGUCCAAGGCGAGCCCCACACUUGAGAGUUUUACCUCCAGUCCUCACAAACUGUGUUCCAGGAGGCGAGAGGCCAGCUCCACCCACGACUCAGAUACCUGCACAAAGACUUCUCCCAAAAACAGCACUGAGUUCUGUGCAUCCUCCCACUGCAUUGCUCAGAAUAAUAAAAGGAUGGAGUAGAGUUUGGUGUCACUGUCUUGAUUAAUAUUAAGACUCUAGUAGCA